GACGUAGGGCGCGAGCGUUUGUCCGGAUUUAUUGGGCGUAAAGAGCUCGUAGGCGGCUUGUCGCGUCGUUCGUGAAAACUUGGGGCUCAACUCCAAGCUUGCGGUCGAUACGGGCAGGCUAGAGUUCGGUAGGGGAGACUGGAAUUCUGGUGUAGCGGUGAAAUGCGCAGAUAUCAGGAGGAACACCGGUGGCGAAGGCGGGUCUCUGGGCCGAUACUGACGCUGAGGAGCGAAAGCGUGGGGAGCGAACAGG
rnacentral:rRNA from 1 species